GCCGUACUCUCAUGCGUGGCGCCACCGUCCAGUCUCUACUGUUUGUGGCGCCACUACACGACCCCACGUGGGUGGAGCCGUCAAUCCCUGGCACGUGCACGGAUCGUUGGUUGUCCGAAUUUGAGGUGUUCCUCGAACACGGCACCAACGCAUCCUUAGUCAUUGCGACUAAACCGGUUGCCGGAGGAGCGUAAGCAACCGCGUUGUGGUUGUUGAACCAAGGAACCACCUCAUCUCCACUCUGUUUGUUCCUGUCCACGGUGGACUUCCCGUGGAGAUGAAGAGGAACGUCGUCGUUGCAACGGGUGGCUUGGUUCACUAUAGAUUCAAGGGUGCCACCGUAGCUCGAUAUGGGCUUAUUAUUAGCCCGUGGAGGCCCUAACCCAUGCAUUGCUAACUGCCCAUUUUCCCACGUUAGCUCCGCUACUUCAUAAUCUAAUGAGGGGACAUCAACGGCUAAUGAAUUGGAUUGAGUUUGUAUAAGAUUUUUUCU
rnacentral:misc_RNA from 1 species